GGAAGGUUCAUGUCCAGCUCCUCUGGGAGAGGACUAUGGGGAAGAAAAGGUGGAGCACAUUCUAAAGGGGGCUGGACAGCAGUACCAGACUAACCCCAGUUCACUGGACCAGGCCCAGGGCAGCCCAUCCCCCAAGGGCAAACUGGAAGUAUAAAAAUGAAUAAAACAGAGCCCUUCACACUCUGGGGACACUUUAAAGUUAAACCAGCUGGUAGUGACCACCCCUCACCCCCCGCCAGAGCUCACUCUAAUGAAUUAGCCUACCCCCACUACCAUCAUCCUACUGUCCCCCGCCUCAACCUCCUGCCACUAAUUUGAUCAAGGGGUGUGGCCAAAUGAGGCUAAAUUUAGCCUAAGAAAUGGCCCCAUCUGUUGGGUGAUGCUCUGGGUUCACAUGUAACAUUAGCCUAAAUGUGAUGUCCCAAAGAUGGCAAAUUUGCUGCUAGAAAAAAACGCAAUGAGGCUUUGAGCAAAGCGGACACAAUUUUUUUAAAAAUAUGAUCCAGUGUUUUGGACCAUCCUUGCCAGUGCUUCCUAGAUUCCACUCUGCAGUACACACAGAGCAGCUGAUCCACACAGGAAACGCAGCCCAGACCUGGGCCAGGAGGGAGCAGGAGAGGAGGUGGGCGAGGAUGGAUGAAUACAAAACAGCCCGUGGCACCAGCAGCAGGCUUCUUCAGACUCACUUCUAUCAGACAUAAUCCUUCUUCGACACAAGCCUCCCAGAUGCGCAGCGCCUCGGCCUCGGGAAACUCCCGCUUGAAGCACAGCAGGAGCCAGCGGUGGCAGAAGAGCAUUUGCAAGCCGUCCUCGCCCAGCGAGACCAGAUGCUGGUAGAAGCGUGCGUGGGUCAGCCGCAGCAGCUCCCGCAGCAGCUAACGAGUCACGGGGCCAUGUGCUGCGGAGCCGUCAGCGGCGAAUCACGUCAGAGCCCGUAAUUGCCU